AGCAGAAUGGUUCAGUUGGUUAGAGAGCUUCAGAUAGUAACUCUGAGGUCCUGGGUUUGAAUCCCAGUUCAGCCA